CGCGCAGGCGGCGUCGUAAGUCGGUCUUAAAAGUGCGGGGCUUAACCCCGUGAGGGGACCGAAACUGCGAUGCUAGAGUAUCGGAGAGGAAAGCGGAAUUCCUAGUGUAGCGGUGAAAUGCGUAGAUAUUAGGAGGAACACCAGUGGCGAAAGCGGCUUUCUGGAUGACAACUGACGCUGAGGCGCGAAAGCGUGGGGAGCGAACA
rnacentral:rRNA from 1 species